GACGAACCGAGCGAACGUUGUUCGGAAUCACUGGGCGUAAAGCGCACGUAGGCGGCUUCUUAAGUCAGGGGGUGAAAUCCUGGAGCUCAACUCCAGAACUGCCUUUGAUACUGAGUAGCUUGAGUCCGGGAGAGGUGAGUGGAACUGCGAGUGUAGAGGUGAAAUUCGUAGAUAUUCGCAAGAACACCAGUGGCGAAGGCGACUUACUGGACACAUAUUGACGCUGAGGUGCGAAAGCGUGGGGAGCAAACAGG
rnacentral:rRNA from 1 species